rnacentral:rRNA from 1 species
UGGGGAAUAUUGGACAAUGGGCGAAAGCCUGAUCCAGCAAUGCCGCGUGUGUGAAGAAGGUCUUCGGAUUGUAAAGCACUUUAAGUUGGGAGGAAGGGCAUUAACCUAAUACGUUAGUGUUUUGACGUUACCGACAGAAUAAGCACCGGCUAACUCUGUGCCAGCAGCCGCGGUAAUACAGAGGGUGCAAGCGUUAAUCGGAAUUACUGGGCGUAAAGCGCGCGUAGGUGGUUUGUUAAGUUGGAUGUGAAAUCCCCGGGCUCAACCUGGGAACUGCAUUCAAAACUGACUGACUAGAGUAUGGUAGAGGGUGGUGGAAUUUCCUGUGUAGCGGUGAAAUGCGUAGAUAUAGGAAGGAACACCAGUGGCGAAGGCGACCACCUGGACUAAUACUGACACUGAGGUGCGAAAGCGUGGGGAGCAAACA